AAGGGCUCCCUGUCUGGUGGGCUUGGAACACGUGCAGCGGGCUGAAAGCUGGCCCGUACGGCCAUUCUUAACAGACUCAAGGUAUCAAACUUAUUUUUGCAAGUUGGCGGAGUGCUUGAAGCCUGCUUCACCUUCACCACGAGUCGGCCCGGUAUUUCACUAUCUUCGGGGUCGGCCCAUGGUUA